rnacentral:lncRNA from 1 species
UGUGUGUAAAAAUAAGUGUUUUUAUUCUGUAAACACAAAUGCUAUCAACGCAACUCAAAUACUUCAGAGAAGCUCUAUAUGACAUAUAAAUAAUAAUUGCAAAAUUCAGUGUAGCAAGCAAACUAAGAAAACAAAAUAGUCUUAGCGAAUAAUUUGUUGGUUUUUUUUUUUUUUCGACAUAGUUCACAGAGGAAAAGAACCAAAACAGUUGAUAUGCUGUUACUUAUUCUGUAGCUCUAAACAGGUUUUUUUCUUUAUUAAAUAGAAAUAGUUGAGCCAGAAUCUGAUUUUGUUUCUGUUAAUAGUAGCAAUAGCAUGAUUUCCAUAGUAAGGAAGCAAAUCUAUUAUGCUAGAGAACUUCUGUGAGAACUUACACGUUAGCUGACCUGUAGAUAACAGUAGCAUUAACUUUUCCUAUCUGAUAACAUUGUUUUAGCAUGAACUUCAUAUUACUUUGGAAGGUUUCUUGGUCAGAUUUCAAGAUCCUGGAAGAGUGAUGAACUAAAACUUUUCCAGUAAGUCUAUCCGAAAAUAUAAGCAAGCCUGAGAAAGUUAUGCCUCCUUCAAAUUCAUCUGCUCAAGUGUCUCAUUUACCACAAAUCAAAUUUAAAUUGUGCAGAAGCAUUUAAAAAAUAAAUCAGUUGCCUUUCUAGCUGUAAUUUCCACAGUUGUCUUUCACUCCUAAUUUAUUCAGUAACUUAAGUCAAGCCUGAGAGGCAGAAUAAUGUUUAUAUAUAUCAGAAAAAAAAAAAAUCCAAAUUUUAACUCAGAGGAAGAGGCUAUAUAUGCAAAUAUACAAUCCAGUUGCUGGGAGAUCUCAUGGAUGCUUAUAGCUAUGAACACUCAAACCAAUUUUAAGGUCUAAAGGCCUUAGUCAUUCACUGAUACACUCAAUCAUGUUCUUCAAUUCCAAUUUAGUAACAGAUUUCUGUCCAUUCCAUUUAUAUGACAUGCUCCAUAAAUUGUACAAAUUCAGCCGUAUAGUAGCAGAAUGCAUUUCCUCCUCUGGGUGCAUAUGUAAUCUCUUAGGGACCAUUUACACUUUAAAAUUAGUUUGGCACAAAUGCAGGUAGGAAACUAAACACAGCAACUAUUUCUGUUUAAUUCCACAUGUAGAUAUUGUCCACUCGUGGGAUUAUCCAGGAAUGCUGAUCCAAAACUGCUGCUCCAGAAAAGCUGUUUAGGCGUAAUACCACAUAUUGGAAAGUCCUCCUGACCUGUAUUCAAGUCAUAGGAGCAAGAAGAGGUGUCAAGACAGUCAGAAGAAAUUGUGAUGACCACAUCGGCUAGACUGGCAGAAAAUCAUUUAACAUCUAUGUCCAAAGCCCAGUCAAGCCCUGGUGCUCAGAUUCUGAGGGGUUUUCAGUCACUUUUGCAGAUUUACUGCAGCAAGCCUUUGCCAGUGAUGAGAUCAGAGCUAUGAUUCCCUGAAAAACAGCUGUGCAUUUACCUACUCAUUUGUUACUUUUUCUGAAGUCAGGCAACAAGAUAAAAUGUUUGUACCUUAAAAAAACAAAUUAUGCUGACCACUACAUUAAAGUGAUCAAGACUGUAGUUUAUAUUCCCACCCUUAGAGGCAAUUGCUUAGAGAGGUGAGGAACUAACUCUUUCACAAUGCUCAGCUGGGUCUAGUAGACAUCUUGUCCAGAGGAAGGGCUUCUUUCUUCAUCCAAUACACCAGGGCCUGGCCUUGUCCUGAAAUGGAUGUGAAAAGAAUAUUUGAAAUUUUAUGCUGGUGAAUCUUGGUUAUACACAUAAAGUCAGCCCCUGAGCCAAACAUAAUAGUGAUCCUUAGCCUGGCCCUAACCAAUGCAAAAAGAUUCCUUUCCUACACGAAAUCCAGAGGGCAAUGUGUUGCAUAAGGCCUUUUUACACUCAGCCAUUCAAAAGUGCCAACCAUUGAGAAGCCCUGUGGAGCUGCAGGACUGUGACAGUUAUGAAGGAACAAGCAUCAAACUGAAUGUGUUACAAGCCCAUGAAGUAAUACUAGCAGUUAAGGCUUUACAGCUUAUUGCUGAUCACAUGCACCCUUCUUCUGCACAUUUCAGACAGGAGGAGUAACAGGAACAUUUGUGUUUUCUUGCUUGAAGACAAAAAACUCUUUGUAAAAAUAUAAAAUCUGGAAACAAGCUGGCUGGUGAAGUUUAAAAUACUGGCUGCAAAUCAAACACAAGAAAGGUAUUGGUGAAGGCCAUGUCACACACAAAGAAGUACACAGUGAUAUUCAGUUUUGGAACCUUCUUUAGGCUGUUGAAACAAAUCAAACUUAAUUUAGUCAAAAUAUCUUCACAACUAGACAGAGUUUGGCUUUGUUUUUGCUAUUUUAAAUGUAAGCGGGGGACAAAAAUGUCUAAAUGAAGCUCUUCUUGUUUUUUGUUCUUUUUUCAUACGGAAGACUGCAUUUUCCUGAGGCAUGCCCCAACCACAUCGCUCGGUUGCAGUCUUCACGAAUAGUAUCCCCUCUUAAAAAGUUAAAAAAGAUCCAGUAAUAUCCCUACGGUCACUCUUGCCUGAGAUGCUGUUUGCCCCUACAAAGAACAGAGCUAUAGACCUGUAAAACUAAGAAUUGAACAAUGAAUUGACCUUAAUCUGUGCGGGCUGAAUUUAUCAUCACCUUAACUUCUUCAGAGCACAUGCACACAUCAGCUUUUUUUUCUUACUGAGUUCUUGCCUAGGCUGAAAUUGUGGCACAUUUUUAAAUCUCAAUGAGAUGACUUCAAGAUUACAACAUAGGUAAAUAUGUGACUUGAAAUGUCAUCUUUACUUUCCAUUAAGUAAGAGUUAAACAAAAAGUUUGAAUGGAAAGUUUAAUAACAAAAGACAUUUAUGAUGUUUACUUUAAUUUUCUGGACCAUUAAGUCUAAAUGACAUGAGUUAUUGGAUGCUAUAUCUGGCCAAAAAAUCUUUUUGACCAGUCUAAGUUUUACUACAUGCUGGGCUGCCAGCAUCCCUAUUGGAAAAAAAAAAAAAAAGAAAAAAGAAAGAAAAAAAUCUGUGGACAAAUCCUGGUUUUCUCAGUGAAGUCUGGAUUCAGAACAGCCAUUCAUGCCAGAAAGUACCUUUUGAAGUUUACAUUAACAUGGAUAUUUAUUUAUUUUCCCUCUGUAACAAUGACAGUGGUUGAGAUAAACUGUUUAAUUCUAAAUAGAAAACACAUCUGCUGUUUCUGCAUUGUUUGUGGUUGCUGGAGGGGUGACAAUUUAAACCAAGUAGCACACAUGACAUUUUAAGUGAGAUGUUGUAUGAGGACUUGCAGCUGCUGUACUUUCCUAUUUUCGCCUUGCUGACGGCUCUGCACCAUUGAAGGGCCUGUAAGUCUUCCCAUCCUCAGCACGUCUUUGAAAGGGAAAGUUCAUAAAUAUACAUACACGCAUACAUACACAUGUGUAUACAUGUGAUAUUUUUGAUGCACUCAUUCUCAUUUGUUUUGAGCUGAAAGGCAUUUCCUACACAGGGAUUUCUGUGGCCAACCCUUCUUGAGACUUUGCUGAAGACUAGGGGAUGAGCAGAGUGCCUGGGUGCCUAGCAAGUAUCUUGGAGCUCCUGCAGUAACCUACAGUUGAGCUCUGACCUGCUUAUGUUGGGCUUUAUGGCCCACUUGGGGAUCUGGAGUGUCUGAAGCAGCCUGGGUCUGCAGAUCAUUUGGUGCUGGGGAGCUGUGAGGCCAGCCAGAAACAUCCCCGUUAUCUCAAGGCUGCCAGACAGUGUUAAACAAACAGAAAGUGCCGUGGGCUUGGGCUGAGCAAGGUAGCAGGAGUCUGGAAACACUGGCCCUGCUCCAGCAAUGGGAGAUGGAGAGCAAAGGCAAGUGUCUCACUCCACCCAUGGGACCUGCAGCACUGUCCAUCCCCUGCCCUGCACCUGUGCUGGUUGAGGAGCAGAAUUCAUUCCUGCCCAGGGGACUCAGGAUCAUAAACUCUAUUUGCAAGUGAAUGGAGUGCUGCAGUGCUGAGAUCUCUGCUAGGGAUAGCAGUAUUUAUUUAUUUAUUUAGACUGUCCUUUCUUUAAAUCUCCUGUGUCUACAAGGGUUUAAGGUAUAUAAAAGCAUGGGUUUUGUCAGUGCAGUAGUGCAAUCCACUAACCAUAAAAAACAGUGUGAGCUUAUAUUUGACUCCUAUGUUAUGGCUGAGGAGACUAAAAAGUUCCUGAGAAGGACUAAAAGCUCCUGAGCUGUCAUCUCAGACACAGCUGAGGACCAUGAACACCCAGCACACAGCCCCACAGCAUUUCUGACAAUGUUUUUCUUUUCAGCUCAAAGAAAGGUGCCAGUAUUUUACUUUGUUGUUGCUUGCUAGAGAAGAGGGUUCUUCUUUUGCUUCUUUAAAAAAAAACCCAAAUACUUCCUUGGAUCUGAAAGGAAAGUGAUGACACUUAUUUGCUGUGGUGGAACUGUGAUUCCUUCUCUCCGUCAUCCCAGGAAAGUGAGGGUUUCUCCUUGGAGCUUACAAGAUGACCUGAGGAGAUCAAAUUAUUUUCAUUAAAAAAAUAAUAUUAAAAAAUAAAAAUAUUAAAAAAUUAAACAAAAUUCCCAGGGGGGAACCUCAGUACCGAUCUCGAGGUCAUCUUUCCCCAAUCCUCUUUGCAUCACAUGAAGUGAACUUUGUCCUGCACUACUAGCAUGCCCAGUACAGUGUUCAGAAAACUAGCACAAGCAACAUCCAGCCAAGUGCAAGUGUAAAAUACAAAUGUGCUCUCUCUUCCUCUGGCUACAGUGGUGAGAAAUUGUUUGUGUUUUAAGGGAGAGGCCAGGGAAACUGAUUCCCAGGUUGGACCUGGUUACGGCUUCACAGCCACGGAGCAGAACCGGCUCCUAGGCCAGGCCCAUGCAAAUGCUCAGCCUCAAGUGCCAGGGACAAGCAGACCGAUGGGGCCUCCAUGGGGUCAUGGUGUGUUUGGGUUUGAUUGUAAGGCCAGCCCUCAGGCAGCAGCUGCCACUGAGGGAGGAGCCACAGUUUUCUGUUAGCUGAGGGAAUCACUGAGCUGCCAAAGAAACCACAUAGCAGCUAUUCAGCAGAUGAACUCAAAUAAUGCCACAGUACUUGGGUGGCCAUAUUUAUAUUGGGCUAGCCAGGAAUGUCAGGAUUUCAUCUUUCACAAAAGAAAAAAUGCACUUCUGGCACAAGCUAUCAGACUCAAAUGAUCCAUAUUGUUAGGAGAGCCUCAGUCUCUGGACUGAUGCAUGUUUUCCUGCUCCAUAGGUUUGAGGAUAAGAUAUUGCACCCUGUACAGCCAUCAUCCUCUGCAGAUCUGUGGCUGCUUUUCUCUAAGUAAGCAAGAGCAAACAUGCAAUGGCAGAGAGAUACAUAUGAGCUCAUGCAAUCUGUCACAGCACAGCGUUUUCCAAGCACAGGCUUUUUAUCCUUGGAUCUGUCCCAUCUCUGUCUGCACAACCAUAUUUCAAGGAUUUGUCACAGGUCAAAUCUGUCAGCAAUAAUAUGGAAGAAGCAUAGAAAAAGAGCAAUGUGCAUUAUCUCCUCUCUUCCUCUGCAAUCUUCCUGUGCUCCUGACUAAUGGACAAACUCCUAUGCUGAGGGUGAUCAGCCUAAUACCCACCACAAAUGAACAAACAGAAAGCUACUGUGAGCUUCAAUGGACUUUAUGCACUGGAAACAGGCAAGGGGGAGGUGAAGAGGCACAGCACCAGAGUUCCCUGAAGUCUUCAGCCCAGUAAACGGUCUCUAGGCCUUGCAGUGACCAAGUCUUCUUGUGCCUGGACUUCCUCUGAAAACUAUUUUGCCACUCAGAAAUGUUGUCUAGGAAAAAUACGUACGUAUAAGGGAAUUUUUACACUUGAGGAUCCUAGGCCUCUAGCAAGCUAAUGAAAGCAUAUCUGUGUUCCAUCAUACCUAACUGCUUUACGCACCACAGCCUGGGGCCUCUUAGCACACAAGCUGAUCAGCUGCACUAGUCCUGUGUGUGACUCCAGCAGCUCAUGGCAGUAUCAGUUUGAUGGCACUCAUCAAAUCAUGCCUCUCAUUUGCCCUUAAGCUGAAAGUCCAGUAUACUUUGAAAGGACAACAUUUAAUGCAUAUAUGCAAUGUGUGUGUAGA